rnacentral:rRNA from 1 species
GAUCGGAGUGCUUGCACUCUGUGAAACAAGAUACAGGCUAGCGGCGGACGGGUGAGUAACACGUGGGUAACCUGCCUAAGAGAUCGGGAUAACACCUGGAAACAGAUGCUAAUACCGGAUAACAACAGAUGAUGCCUAUCAACUGUUUAAAAGAUGGUUCUGCUAUCACUCUUGGAUGGACCUGCGGUGCAUUAGCUAGUUGGUAGGGUAACGGCCUACCAAGGCGAUGAUGCAUAGCCGAGUUGAGAGACUGAUCGGCCACAUUGGGACUGAGACACGGCCCAAACUCCUACGGGAGGCAGCAGUAGGGAAUCUUCCACAAUGGACGCAAGUCUGAUGGAGCAACGCCGCGUGAGUGAAGAAGGGUUUCGGCUCGUAAAGCUCUGUUGUUGGUGAAGAAGGACAGGGGUAGUAACUGACCUUUGUUUGACGGUAAUCAAUUAGAAAGUCACGGCUAACUACGUGCCAGCAGCCGCGGUAAUACGUAGGUGGCAAGCGUUGUCCGGAUUUAUUGGGCGUAAAGCGAGUGCAGGCGGCUCGAUAAGUCUGAUGUGAAAGCCUUCGGCUCAACCGGAGAAUUGCAUCAGAAACUGUCGAGCUUGAGUACAGAAGAGGAGAGUGGAACUCCAUGUGUAGCGGUGAAAUGCGUAGAUAUAUGGAAGAACACCGGUGGCGAAGGCGGCUCUCUGGUCUGUUACUGACGCUGAGGCUCGAAAGCAUGGGUAGCGAACAGGAUUAGAUACCCUGGUAGUCCAUGCCGUANACGAUGAGUGCUAAGUGUUGGGAGGUUUCCGCCUCUCAGUGCUGCAGCUAACGCAUUAAGCACUCCG